GGCUCUGUAGUGAAAGUAUCAUGUUGAGUUGCAAGCUCAUUGGUGCACGUUAAAAGUGCCAGAGCCU
rnacentral:tRNA from 1 species